rnacentral:rRNA from 1 species
UACGUAGGAUCCAAGCGUUAUCCGGAAUCACUGGGCGUAAAGCGUGCGUAGGCGGCGUGUUAAGUGAGAUGCGAAAUCUGGUGGCUCAACCAUCUAGACUGUAUUUCAUACUGGCAUGCUAGAGAGAGGCAGAGGUAAGUGGAAUUGAUAGUGUAGCAGUGAAAUGCGUAGAUAUUAUCAGGAACACCAAUGGCGAAGGCAGCUUACUGGGCCUUUUCUGACGCUGAGGUACGAAAGCGUGGGGAUCAAACAGG